rnacentral:rRNA from 1 species
UACGUAGGGUGCGAGCGUUGUCCGGAAUUAUUGGGCGUAAAGGGCUCGUAGGCGGUCUGUCGCGUCGGGAGUGAAAACUCAGGGCUUAACCCUGAGCCUGCUUCCGAUACGGGCAGACUAGAGGUAUGCAGGGGAGAACGGAAUUCCUGGUGUAGCGGUGGAAUGCGCAGAUAUCAGGAGGAACACCGGUGGCGAAGGCGGUUCUCUGGGACGGUACUGACGCUGAGACGCGAAAGCGUGGGGAGCGAACAGG